rnacentral:rRNA from 1 species
UACGUAGGGGGCAAGCGUUGUCCGGAUUUAUCGGGCGUAAAGCGCUCGCAGGUGGUCCGAUACGUCGUGCGUGAAAGCCCCCGGCUCAACUGGGGAGUGUCGUGCGAUACGGUCGGACUGGAGGCCAGUAGGGGGAUGCGGAAUUCCGGGUGUAGUGGUGGAAUGCGUAGAGAUCCGGAGGAACACCAGCGGCGAAGGCGGCAUCCUGGACUGGUCCUGACACUCAUGAGCGAAAGCGUGGGGAGCGAUCCGG